UACAGAGGUCUCAAGCGUUGUUCGGAUUCAUUUGGGCGUAAAGGGUGCGUAGGCGGCGCGGUAAGUCGGGUGUGAAAUCUCGGGGCUUAACUCCGAAACUGCAUUCGAUAACUGCCGUGCUUGAGGACUGGAGAGGAGUACUGGAAUUUACGGUGUAGCGGUGAAAUGCGUAGAUAUCAUAAGGAAGACCAGUGGCGAAGGCGGGUC
rnacentral:rRNA from 1 species